UAGCGGCGGACGGGUGAGUAACGCGUGGGAACAUACCCUUUGGUACGGAAUAGCCUCGGGAAACUGGGAGUAAUACCGUAUGUGCCCUUCGGGGGAAAGAUUUAUCGGAGUUGGAUGAGCCCGCGUUAGAUUAGUUUGUUGGUGGGGUAAUGGCCUACCAAGACUACGAUCUAUAGUUGGUCUGAGAGGAUGAUCAGCCACACUGGGACUGAGACACGGCCCAGACUCC
rnacentral:rRNA from 1 species